rnacentral:rRNA from 1 species
UACGAAGGGUGCAAACGUUGCUCGGAAUUAUUGGGCGUAAAGCGCACGUAGGCGGUUUUGCAAGUCGGAUGUGAAAUCCCUCGGCUUAACCAAGGAAGUGCAUCCGAAACUGCAGAGCUUGAGUACUUAAGAGGAUCGCGGAAUUCCCGGUGUAGAGGUGAAAUUCGUAGAUAUCGGGAGGAACACCAGUGGCGAAGGCGGCGAUCUGGGAAGAUACUGACGCUGAGGUGCGAAAGCGUGGGGAGCAAACAGG